rnacentral:rRNA from 1 species
GGGUUGUGAGGUUAAGCGACUAAGCGUACACGGUGGAUGCCCUGGCAGUCAGAGGCGAUGAAGGACGUGCUAAUCUGCGAAAAGCGUCGGUAAGGUGAUAUGAACCGUUAUAACCGGCGAUGUCCGAAUGGGGAAACCCAGUGCAAUUCGUUGCACUAUCGUUAACUGAAUACAUAGGUUAACGAGGCGAACCGGGGGAACUGAAACAUCUAAGUACCCCGAGGAAAAGAAAUCAACCGAGAUUCCCCCAGUAGCGGCGAGCGAACGGGGAGCAGCCCAGAGUCUGAAUCAGCUUGUGUGUUAGUGGAACGGUCUGGAAAGUCCGACGGUACAGGGUGAUAGUCCCGUACACCAAAAUGCACAGGUUGUGAACUCGAAGAGUAGGGCGGGACACGUGGUAUCCUGUCUGAAUAUGGGGGGACCAUCCUCCAAGGCUAAAUACUCCUGACUGACCGAUAGUGAACCAGUACCGUGAGGGAAAGGCGAAAAGAACCCCGGCGAGGGGAGUGAAAAAGAACCUGAAACCGUGUACGUACAAGCAGUGGGAGCACCUUCGGGUGUGACUGCGUACCUUUUGUAUAAUGGGUCAGCGACUUAUAUUCUGUAGCAAGGUUAACCGUAUAGGGGAGCCGCAGGGAAACCGAGUCUUAACUGGGCGUUAAGUUGCAGGGUAUAGACCCGAAACCCGGUGAUCUAGCCAUGGGCAGGUUGAAGGUUGGGUAACACUAACUGGAGGACCGAACCGACUAAUGUUGAAAAAUUAGCGGAUGACUUGUGGCUGGGGGUGAAAGGCCAAUCAAACCGGGAGAUAGCUGGUUCUCCCCGAAAGCUAUUUAGGUAGCGCCUCGUGAAUUCAUCUUCGGGGGUAGAGCACUGUUUCGGCUAGGGGGUCAUCCCGACUUACCAACCCGAUGCAAACUACGAAUACCGAAGAAUGUUAUCACGGGAGACACACGGCGGGUGCUAACGUCCGUCGUGAAGAGGGAAACAACCCAGACCGCCAGCUAAGGUCCCAAAGUCAUGGUUAAGUGGGAAACGAUGUGGGAAGGCACAGACAGCCAGGAUGUUGGCUUAGAAGCAGCCAUCAUUUAAAGAAAGCGUAAUAGCUCACUGGUCGAGUCGGCCUGCGCGGAAGAUGUAACGGGGCUAAACCAUGCACCGAAGCUGCGGCAGCGACACUAUGUGUUGUUGGGUAGGGGAGCGUUCUGUAAGCCUGCGAAGGUGACCUGUGAGGGUUGCUGGAGGUAUCAGAAGUGCGAAUGCUGACAUAAGUAACGAUAAAGCGGGUGAAAAGCCCGCUCGCCGGAAGACCAAGGGUUCCUGUCCAACGUUAAUCGGGGCAGGGUGAGUCGACCCCUAAGGCGAGGCCGAAAGGCGUAGUCGAUGGGAAACAGGUUAAUAUUCCUGUACUUGGUGUUACUGCGAAGGGGGGACGGAGAAGGCUAUGUUAGCCGGGCGACGGUUGUCCCGGUUUAAGCAUGUAGGCUGGUUAUCCAGGCAAAUCCGGAUAAUCAAGGCUGAGGUGUGAUGACGAGGCACUACGGUGCUGAAGUAACAAAUGCCCUGCUUCCAGGAAAAGCCUCUAAGCAUCAGGUAACAUUAAAUCGUACCCCAAACCGACACAGGUGGUCAGGUAGAGAAUACCAAGGCGCUUGAGAGAACUCGGGUGAAGGAACUAGGCAAAAUGGUGCCGUAACUUCGGGAGAAGGCACGCUGGUGUGUAGGUGAAGCCCCUGCGGGUGGAGCUGAGACCAGUCGAAGAUACCAGCUGGCUGCAACUGUUUAUUAAAAACACAGCACUGUGCAAACACGAAAGUGGACGUAUACGGUGUGACGCCUGCCCGGUGCCGGAAGGUUAAUUGAUGGGGUUAUCCGUAAGGAGAAGCUCUUGAUCGAAGCCCCGGUAAACGGCGGCCGUAACUAUAACGGUCCUAAGGUAGCGAAAUUCCUUGUCGGGUAAGUUCCGACCUGCACGAAUGGCGUAAUGAUGGCCAGGCUGUCUCCACCCGAGACUCAGUGAAAUUGAACUCGCUGUGAAGAUGCAGUGUACCCGCGGCAAGACGGAAAGACCCCGUGAACCUUUACUAUAGCUUGACACUGAACAUUGAGCCUUGAUGUGUAGGAUAGGUGGGAGGCUUUGAAGCGUGGACGCCAGUCUGCGUGGAGCCAACCUUGAAAUACCACCCUUUAAUGUUUGAUGUUCUAACGUUGGCCCCUGACCGGGGUUGCGGACAGUGUCUGGUGGGUAGUUUGACUGGGGCGGUCUCCUCCCAAAGCGUAACGGAGGAGCACGAAGGUUAGCUAAUCCUGGUCGGACAUCAGGAGGUUAGUGCAAUGGCAUAAGCUAGCUUGACUGCGAGCGUGACGGCGCGAGCAGGUGCGAAAGCAGGUCAUAGUGAUCCGGUGGUUCUGAAUGGAAGGGCCAUCGCUCAACGGAUAAAAGGUACUCCGGGGAUAACAGGCUGAUACCGCCCAAGAGUUCAUAUCGACGGCGGUGUUUGGCACCUCGAUGUCGGCUCAUCACAUCCUGGGGCUGAAGUAGGUCCCAAGGGUAUGGCUGUUCGCCAUUUAAAGUGGUACGCGAGCUGGGUUUAGAACGUCGUGAGACAGUUCGGUCCCUAUCUGCCGUGGGCGCUGGAGAAUUGAGGGGGGCUGCUCCUAGUACGAGAGGACCGGAGUGGACGCAUCACUGGUGUUCGGGUUGUCAUGCCAAUGGCACUGCCCGGUAGCUAAAUGCGGAAGAGAUAAGUGCUGAAAGCAUCUAAGCACGAAACUUGCCCCGAGAUGAGUUCUCCCUGAGACUUUAAGUCUCCUGAAGGAACGUUAAAGACGAUGACGUUGAUAGGCCGGGUGUGUAAGCGCAGCGAUGCGUUGAGCUAACCGGUACUAAUGAACCGUGAGGCUUAACCUUACAACGCCGAAG